AGGUGAUGCUCACACUGCCUGGGUGGAGUCAGACGCCCAAGUAUUCACAGGGUCACCACUGAGGAAGUCUGUCACCUCCAACACAUGUGAAGAAACAACCCCCAGAAUCCAGGAAUUCACCAGCAUUUAAAUCCCUUUAUCCAGUAGGAGCCGAUUCAAAAGACAUCAGGGGACUGUGCCCAAUAUUCCUGGAGCCAAGGCAUCUCUGGAUGUAGUAGGGUCACAAUUCACACGUGAAGCCUACUGUUGUUCUAGGGAGACUGACGGUAAACCUUCUGGAAGGAAAACUGAGUUUUAUAAGAGCAAUUUUCUGCCUGUCCUAUGGUCAGGAGCAACAUCUAUUCAUUUGGUUUGUAUCACGAGGGUCCGUUUUCCUUCCGUGUGGCUCAGGGGUUUACUUUUUAGAAUUGAUGGUGAG
rnacentral:lncRNA from 1 species